ACAUACGACCACAGACUGUUGAAUAUUGGCCAUCCCGUCCGCUCUGGCAUACACAAGCAACAGAUCGCAGGAUUAGUACUACGGUGGGUGACCACGUGGGAAUACCCUGUGUUGUAUGUUUUG
rnacentral:rRNA from 1 species